rnacentral:rRNA from 1 species
GACGAACGCUGGCGGCGUGCCUAAUACAUGCAAGUCGAACGCAGUGGGGACGGGUGAGUAACACGUGGGUAACCUCCCAUCAGAGGGGAUAACACUUGGAAACAGGUGCUAAACCGAUACUGAUGGAUGGACCCGCGGUGCAUAAGCUAGUUGGUGAGGUAACGGAUCACAAAGGCCACGAUGCAUAGCCGAACGGAGAGGUUGAUAGUCCACACUGAGACUGAGACAGGGCCCAGACUCCAACGGGAGGCAGCAGUAGGGAAUCUGCGGCAAUGGACGAAAGUCUGACCGAGCAACGCCGGGUGAGUGAAGAAGGUUUUCGGAUCGUAAGACUCUGUUGUUAGAGAAGCGGUACCAAAUCAGAAAGCCACGGCUAACUACGUGCCAGCAGCGCGGUAAUUC